GCUGGGCUAUGGCUUUUAGCCCGCGCGCACUCUCCCGGCUGGAGAGGUGACGCACGGCUAUGGCAGGAGCCUCAAUAGCCGCCCGUCACCUCUCCAGCCGGGAGAGCGCGCGGGGCUAAAGCAGCCCCCGCGACCCUCUCCCGGCUGGAGAGGUGACGGGCGGCUAUUGAGGCUCUUGCCAUAGCCGCCCGUCACCUCUCCAGUCGGGAGA